GAAAUUUUUUAACGGCCGCGGUAUCCUAACCGUGCAAAGGUAGCGUAAUCACUUGUCUUUUAAAUAAAGACUCGUAUGAACGGCCAAAUGAGGAUAGACCUGUCUCUUCUAAUUAACCAGUGAAACUGAUCUUCAAGUACAAAAGCUUGAAUAAACACAUAAGACGAGAAGACCCUGUGAAGCUUAAAUCUAACACUAUUUCUUAAUCGAAACAUGGCGUUAAAUUUUAGUUGGGGCGACUUCGGAACAAAAUAAAACUUCCGAGCAAAGAGCCAACCCCUCUAACCAAGACCAACAAGUCAAAGAAAAAUCAGACCCAGUCUAACUGAGCAACGAACCAAGUUACUCCAGGGAUAACAGCGCCAUCUUCUUCAAGAGUUCAUAUCGACAAGAAGGUUUACGACCUCGAUGUUGGAUCAGGACACCCAAAUGGUGCAGCAGCUAUUAAAGGUUCGUUUGUUCAACGAUCAACAGUCCUACGUGAUCUGAGUUC
rnacentral:rRNA from 1 species